UCUUGUACACACCGCCCGUCACACCACGGGAGUUGGAGACGCCCGAAGCCGAUUAUCUAACCUUUUGGAAGAAGUCGUCGAAGGUGGAAUCAAUAACUGGGGUGAAGUCGUAACAAGGUAGCCGUAUCGGAAGGUGCGGCUGGAUCACCUCCUUU
rnacentral:rRNA from 1 species